AUCAAACAGUACGCUACCAUUGUGGCAGUAGUAUUAAAUCAAAGCAGCAUUUCUUGUAUUCCCACCUGCCUCAGAUGUGUAUUUGGGAAAACUGUCUACAGCUGGGCCCCCACAUUAGUAGCAGCUGGAGAAGGUUUAGCUGGUGAAAAGUCGGAGUUUAAAAAAAUCUGUAGUUGGGUGGAGUUGCUUGCUAGAUCAUAUGAAGAAAAUGCAGUGAAAGAUUUAGGCCUCAUCUUAAGAAAGAUAAGUGCUAUUUUUGGAGUCUCAGAGUCUGAAAAUGGAGGAUGGGAACAGCUGGAUUUCUUUGCUUGCAGUGACAAGAGCCUCACCUCUGUGCAGGCGAAGCUGCUCUGCUGUGUGAUCUGUCCCCAUGUUUGGUGGGAGCUACUGAUCUGAAGAAACAGAGGACAGCAAGAGCCCAUCAGAGCAUCUUCAUUCUGAGAUUUACUCAUUCAUGAGUGUCUAUCAAUCAAAAGGAAACCAGAACCUCCAAAAGAACAGUGUGGGGUUGUGGUUUUUUUUUUUUCUUCCCUGAAACCAUUUUGCUCCUUGAGGUGAGGAAAAUUGACUCCAAAAAUAGCUCUUUAUAGAACACUACUUAUGAGCUGGGUGCUUGUAACUACACUUUGUCCUUUGAGAUAAAGGUUGUGGCUAUUGAUGAAGUUUUACAGAAUGAAUCAUGUUUUCUCCUUUGGGAUUCUUUAAAAAUGCAAGUCACUUCUGAGAUGCACUGUGGUGUCUGGGAGUCCUUUAAAAUCCUUAGGAGGAGAAAAUGAAAUGUAUUAUUAAGAUUUUUUGAAGAAAAAAAAAAACCUUCAUUUUUCUAACCAACUUAAAAUGUAGGAAUUGUUAUACAUAGCUUCCCCAAUCUCCCCCAAGAAACACAGAGAAAUUGGAGUCUAAAUCUUUUCUUCUUAAAACACGUGGAUAUGGAGCUUUUGUGGGUAUGAAAGAAAGCCUGAGACAUGAUCAGUCUGGGACAAAUUCAGAAAUACGGUCUCUUGAACAUGAAACCAACAAAACAAUCACUUCAGCAUAAGCAUGUGAGAGUGUAGUGGGGCCCUUACAGCUGCCUUCUGGUAAUGGUUCUGCAGGAGGAACUUUGGGCAGCCCUACAUGUUACUUCUUACUGACAAGACUGAGAGACAAGGUGCCGUUAGGAUGUGCAAGGUCCUAAGCUAUGUAAGGAUGGGUCCAGGCUGUCCAUGUAAAAGCAUGUGCACUUCUUGCCUUACUUGGGUUGUUAUGUGGCCAUGGCAGUAAAAGCUGUUAGGAGGAUGGCUCUCUCAGCAUCUCAGAUGAUCCUAAAUUGUUUCUCCCUUUCUUUUGACUUCAUAAAACACCACGAGGAAUCUAUCUUGCCUGUUAAAAUGAAUCCCCUACAAAUUUGGACAGA
rnacentral:lncRNA from 1 species